GUGGGGAAUAUUAGACAAUGGGCGAAAGCCUGAUCCAGCCAUGCCGCGUGUGUGAAGAAGGUCUUCGGAUUGUAAAGCACUUUAAGUUGGGAGGAAGGGCAGUAAGUUAAUACCUUGCUGUUUUGACGUUACCGACAGAAUAAGCACCGGCUAACUUCGUGCCAGCAGCCGCGGUAAUACGAAGGGUGCAAGCGUUAAUCGGAAUUACUGGGCGUAAAGCGCGCGUAGGUGGUUUUGUAAGUUGGAGGUGAAAUCCCCGGGCUCAACCUGGGAACUGCCUCCAAAACUGCAUGACUAGAGUACGGUAGAGGGUAGUGGAAUUUCCUGUGUAGCGGUGAAAUGCGUAGAUAUAGGAAGGAACACCAGUGGCGAAGGCGACUACCUGGACUGAUACUGACACUGAGGUGCGAAAGCGUGGGGAGCAAACAGGAUUAGAUACCCCUGUAGUCC
rnacentral:rRNA from 1 species